rnacentral:rRNA from 1 species
AGGUAAGCUACUAAGAGCGAAUGGUGGAUGCCUUGGUUGGUAGAGGCGAUGAAAGACGUGCUAGACUGCGAUAAGUCUCGGGGAGUUGUCAAGGAGCUUUGAUCCGGGAAUUUCUGAAUGGGGCAACCCAGUAUAUAGUGAUAUAUACUACCUAUAUGGAGCAAACGUGGGGAAUUGAAACAUCUUAGUACCCACAGGAAAAGAAAUCAAAUGAGAUUACGAAAGUAGCGGCGAGCGAAAUCGUAAAAGGGCAAACCACUAGUUUACUAGUGGGGUUGUAGGACUGUAACAUAGACUAAAAAGAGUUAAUAGAAUAAUCUGGAAAGUUUAAGCAUAGAGGGUGAUACUCCCGUAUAUGAAAACUCUUUUUUACUUAACAGUAUCCUGAGUAGGGCGAGGCACGUGAAACCUUGUCUGAAUCUGGGAAGACCACUUUCCAACCCUAAAUACUACUACCAAACCGAUAGUGAACAAGUACCGUGAGGGAAAGGUGAAAAGAACGGGGGUGACCCGAGUGAAAUAGAACCUGAAACCAUUUGCUUACAAUCAUUCAGAGCACGAUUCUUUAUGACGUGUGAUGGACUGCCUUUUGCAUAAUGAGCCUGCGAGUUGUGAUAUCUGGCAAGGUUAAGGAAAUCCGGAGCCGUAGCGAAAGCAAGUCUUAAUAGGGCGUUUAGUCAGAUAUUGCAGACCCGAAACGAAGUGAUCUAUCCAUGAGCAGGUUGAAACCGGUGUAAGAGCCGGCGGAGGACCGAACCCGCUGACGUUGAAAAGUCUUGGGAUGACUUGUGGAUAGGGGUGAAAGGCCAAUCAAACUUCGUGAUAGCUGGUUCUCUCCGAAAUAUAUUUAGGUAUAGCGUUAUGUAGUAAUUAGAGGGGGUAGAGCACUGAAUGGGCUAGGGCAUACACCAAUGUACCAAACCCUAUCAAACUCCGAAUACCUUUAAUGUAAUCAUAGCAGUCAGGCGGCGAGUGAUAAAAUCCGUCGUCAAGAGGGGAACAACCCAGACUACCGACUAAGGUCCCAAAAUCUUAUUUAAGUGGAAAACGAUGUGAAGUUACUUAAACAACCAGGAGGUUGGCUUAGAAGCAGCCAUCCUUUAAAGAUAGCGUAAUAGCUCACUGGUCUAGUGAUUUUGCGCGGAAAAUAUAACGGGGCUAAAAUAAGUACCGAAGUCGUAGACUUAGUUUUACUAAGUGGUAGGAGAGCGUUGUAUUUAGCGUUGAAGAUGUACCGGUAAGGAGCGUUGGAGCAAAUACAAGUGAGCAUGCAGGCAUGAGUAGCGUUAAAUCAGGUGAGAAUCCUGAUCGCCGAAAACCCAAGGUUUCCUACGCGAUGCUCGUCAUCGUAGGGUUAGUCGGGUCCUAAGCAAAGUCCGAAAGGGGUAUGCGAUGGAAAAUUGGUUAAUAUUCCAAUACCAAUUAUUAUGUGCGAUGGAAGGACGCUUAAAGUUAGUGGAGCUAACUGAUGGAAUAGUUAGUCUAAGGUCGUAGGUUGAGUUAUAGGCAAAUCCGUAACUCUUUAUCCGAAAGCUUAAAGGCUUACAAAGCUCUUCGGAGUAGCGUAAGAAUCCAUGAUACUAUAGAGCCAAGAAAAGUUUCUAAGUUUAGUAAUAAUUGCCCGUACCGUAAACCGACACAGGUGGGUGGGAUGAGUAUUCUAAGGCGCGUGGAAGAACUCUCUUUAAGGAACUCUGCAAAAUAGCACCGUAUCUUCGGUAUAAGGUGUGCCUACCAGGGUGCAAGCCCUAGAGGUUACAACAAAGAGUCCCUCCCGACUGUUUACCAAAAACACAGCACUCUGCUAACACGUAAGUGGAUGUAUAGGGUGUGACGCCUGCCCGGUGCUCGAAGGUUAAUUGAUGGAGUUAGCAUUAGCAAAGCUCUUGAUCGAAGCCCGAGUAAACGGCGGCCGUAACUAUAACGGUCCUAAGGUAGCGAAAUUCCUUGUCGGUUAAAUACCGACCUGCAUGAAUGGCGUAACGAGAUGGGAGCUGUCUCAAAGAGGGAUCCAGUGAAAUUGUAGUGGAGGUGAAAAUUCCUCCUACCCGCGGCAAGACGGAAAGACCCCGUGGACCUUUACUAUAGCUUGACACUGCUACUUGGAUAAAGAUGUGCAGGAUAGGUGGGAGAUUAUGAUCUAUAGAUGCUAGUCUAUAAGGAGUCAUCCUUGAGAUACCACUCUUCUUUAUUCGGGUAGCUAACUAGCCUAAGUUAUCCUUAGGUAGGACAAUGUCUGGUGGGUAGUUUGACUGGGGCGGUCGCCUCCCAAAUAAUAACGGAGGCUUACAAAGGUUGGUUCAAAACGGUUGGAAAUCGUUUGUAGAGUAUAAAGGCAAAAACCAGCUUAACUGCGACACCGACAAGUGGAGCAGAGACGAAAGUCGGUCUUAGUGAUCCGGUGGUUCUGUGUGGAAGGGCCAUCGCUCAAAGGAUAAAAGGUACCCCGGGGAUAACAGGCUGAUCUCCCCCAAGAGCUCACAUCGACGGGGAGGUUUGGCACCUCGAUGUCGGCUCAUCGCAUCCUGGGGCUGGAGCAGGUCCCAAGGGUAUGGCUGUUCGCCAUUUAAAGCGGUACGCGAGCUGGGUUCAGAACGUCGUGAGACAGUUCGGUCCCUAUCUGCCGUGGGCGUAAGAAGAUUGAGGAGAGUUGACCCUAGUACGAGAGGACCGGGUUGAACCAACCACUGGUGUAUAAGUUGUCCUGCCAAGGGCACCGCUUAGUAGCUAAGUUGGGAUGUGAUAAGAGCUGAAAGCAUCUAAGCUCGAAGCCAACUCCAAGAUUAAUCUUCUUUUAAGAGCUCUUAUAGACUAUAAGUUUGAUAGGCUGGGUGUGUAAUUGAUGUAAGUCAUUUAGCUGACCAGUACUAAUAGCUCGUUUGCUUAUCUUA